GCUCCCAGACCACAGUGUUUCUUCCUGAAGCCGGUGGUUGCAGCCACUUUGCCUUGCUCCUCUACGCCUUUCCUGAAGGAUGAGGUGGGGCCAGUCUGCCUCUGGGAGCUCGGUCAAGUUCACCCGCCUGCCUGCCUGUCCAGGGUGAGCCACCAACUCGGAAGGCCCAGGGUGAAGUGUGGGCUGCUGAGGACUGAGCGAUCACCCACAUGUCCACACAGCCAGCCGGGCCGCAGCUGAUGCCCGAGGACGCGCUGGACACCGGUCUGCAGCCGCUUCCAACCUCUCCGGCCUCAGCCUCCAGGAGGCACAGCAGAUUCUCAACGUGUCCAAGCUGAGCCCUGAGGAGGUCCAGAAGAACUAUGAACACUUAUUUAAGGUGAAUGAUAAAUCCGUGGGUGGCUCCUUCUACCUGCAGUCAAAGGUGGUCCGCGCAAAGGAGCGCCUGGAUGAGGAACUCAAAAUCCAGGCCCAGGAGGACAGAGAAAAAGGGCAGAUGCCCCAUACGUGACUGCUCGGCUCCCCCCGCCCACCCCGCCGCCUCUAAUUUAUAGCUUGGUAAUAAAUUUCUUUUCUGCA
rnacentral:lncRNA from 1 species